rnacentral:rRNA from 1 species
CCUACGGGAGACAGCAGUGAGGAAUAUUGGUCAAUGGCCGGAAGGCUGAACCAGCCAAGCCGCGUGAAGGACGAAGGUGCCAAGCAUUGUAAACUUCUUUUGUCAAGGGACAAAAUCAGGCUCGAGAGCCUGACCGAGGGUACUUGAAGAAAAAGCAUCGGCUAACUCCGUGCCAGCAGCCGCGGUACUACGGAGGAUGCGAGCGUUAUCCGGAUUGAUUGGGUUUAAAGGGUGCGUAGGCGGACUGUUAAGUCAGCGGUAAAAGCCCGGGGCUCAACCCCGGCGAGCCGUUGAAACUGGCUGUCUUGAGAUGUCGAGAGGUAUGCGGAAUGCGCAGUGUAGCGGUGAAAUGCUUAGAUAUUGCGCAGAACUCCGAUUGCGAAGGCAGCAUACCGGCGGCGAUCUGACGCUGAGGCACGAAAGCGUGGGUAUCGAACAGGAUUAGAUACCCUUGUAGUC